rnacentral:rRNA from 1 species
AUUGAACGCUGGCGGCAUGCCUUACACAUGCAAGUCGAACGGUAACAGGUUAAGCUGACGAGUGGCGAACGGGUGAGUAAUAUAUCGGAACGUGCCCAGUCGUGGGGGAUAACUGCUCGAAAGAGCAGCUAAUACCGCAUACGACCUGAGGGUGAAAGCGGGGGAUCGCAAGACCUCGCGCGAUUGGAGCGGGCGAUAUCAGAUUAGGUAGUUGGUGGGGUAAAGGCCUACCAAGCCUACGAUCUGUAGCUGGUCUGAGAGGACGACCAGCCACACUGGGACUGAGACACGGCCCAGACUCCUACGGGAGGCAGCAGUGGGGAAUUUUGGACAAUGGACGCAAGUCUGAUCCAGCCUUGCCGCGUGCGGGAAGAAGGCCUUCGGGUUGUAAACCGCUUUUGUCAGGGAAGAAAAGGUUCUGGUUAAUACCUGGGACUCAUGACGGUACCUGAAGAAUAAGCACCGGCUAACUACGUGCCAGCCGCCGCGGUAAAAC